UUGGUUACUCUUAUCAAAAGGAAAUAUUUUAUAACGUGUAAGAGGUCUUGAGCAAAUUAGGAAAAUUCUAUGUUGAUUACGUUGAAGGCAUCAUAUAUAUUUCCACACCAGCACCAAAACGUAAAGGAGAAGUGUUGAUUUGAAGGGUGGAUUUCAACGAAGUAAAGUAAGAUUGAAGAAGAGUAGUUUAUGGCAUAUGAGGUUUAUCAUAUUAGUUGUGGAAGUUCUUGGCUGGACUGAGCUCUUGAACGACGUAAGGUAUGUAAAGCUAACCCUUCUUUCUUUUUGGCAUGAUCUUUAUGAAACAAACAGACGAUGUGUAUAUAUAUAUAUAUGACUCCAAAGAACUCCUAUUCUUAGAGCCACUAGGAUGGCUAAUGUUCUUGAUUUCCAGAAACUAUUUUAUUAUGUCUUGAUACGUGUAUAUAAUCCUUGAGGUUCUAUUUUGAUAUAAUCCACAGCGAUAUUCGAAAGGUAUUUGAUAUAACUAUUGUCUUGGUUUUCAAAUGAUGUUUUGUUUUGAUUAUUCUUUUGAGUCUCAGAUAUGAUUUAAUUUGCAUAUGGUUUCUCACUACUCUACUCGUGCAUGCCUCAAUAUGUGUUUCAUCGAGUCCCGGGCCGGGUAUGUUAUCGUGCACAAUUUCACUGCAUUGUUCACCGAGUCCCUCACUAGAGGGCCGGGUACGGUAUAUAUAUAUUAUGGUGUUAUGCUAUGUUAUGGUGUUAUGCUGUGUUAUGGAGUUAUGCUGUGUUACGGAGUUAUGCUGUGUUAUGGAGUAUGCUGUGUUAUGGCGCCAAAGACGGGGUGGCGACCAUGUUCACCGAGUCCCAUAAUGGGCCGGAUAUGAUAUAUGAUAUUGACAUGCAUGAUUUAUGUUUCAAAGGCAAGCAUUUUGGUAUUCUGGUUAUUGUACUCGUUUUCUGUACUUCUUAUUUCAGUUAUGAUCCUGUUUACUGUAUUUCAUGCUUUACAUGCUCAGAACAUAUUCCGUACUGACCCCCUUUCUUCGGGGGGCUGCGUUUCAUGCCCGGAGGUGCAGAUACUCACUUUGGUGAUCCGCCAGCUUAGGAUUCCCUUUCUGCUAUCUUGGAGAGCUCCGUCGUUCCGGAGCCUAGAUUUUGGUUCAGACUUCCUGAUAUGUAUAUAUAUAUAUAUCUAUAUAUGUUUUUGUCCAGGGGUACGACGGGGCCCUGUCCCGUCAUAUGUUAUUGUUGAUACUCUUAGAGGUCUAUAGACAUGUAUGUGGGUUGUGUACAGGUUUUAUCAGCUGUGUCAAUAUGGUUAUUGCGGAUGUUCUGUCAUGGUAGCAGCCUUGCCGGCUUGCAUAUGUUAUCAUUUCGUAGUGGCAGCCUUGUCGGCUUGCGUAAUAUACUGAUAUGUAGUGUCAACCUUG